UCAAGCGAAGAAGGGCGCAGGGCGGAUGCCUUGGCACUGAGAGCCGAUGAAAGACGUGAUAAGCUGCGAUAAGCUUCGGGGAGGAGCAAAUAUCCUUUGAUCCGGAGAUCUCUGAAUGGGGAAACCCGGCUGUAUGGACUACAGUCAUCCAUAAGUGAAUCCAUAGCUUAUGGAAGGGAACCCGGGGAACUGAAACAUCUAAGUACCCGGAGGAAGAGAAAGAAACAUUCGAUUCCGUAAGUAGCGGCGAGCGAACGCGGAAGAGCCCAAACCGUGAUGCGUGCAUCGCGGGGUUCGGACUGCAUAAGGGAUUCAGUAACGGCAGGAGAACGGCUUUGGAACAGCCGGCCAGAGAGGGUGAGAGCCCCGUAUCCGAAGCCGGAGCUGACCCGGCAGGAUCCAGAGUACCACGGGACACGGGAAACCCUGUGGGAACGAGCGGAGACCACUCCGUAAGGCUAAAUACUACUCAGUGACCGAUAGCGUAUAGUACUGUGAAGGAAAGGUGAAAAGAACCCCGGGAGGGGAGUGAAAGAGAACCUGAAACCCUGUGUCUACAAGCUGUGGAAGUGCUUCUUAUGCACGACCGCGUACUUUUUGUAGAACGGUCCGGCGAGCUGCGGGUACUGGCAAGGUUAAGCACUUCAGGUGCGGAGCCGCAGGGAAACCAAGUCUUAAGAGGGCGUUUUAGUCAGUACGUGCAGGCCCGAAACCGGGUGACCUAUCCAUGUCCAGGUUGAAGCCGCCGUAAAAGGCGAUGGAGGACCGAACCCACAUCCGUUGAAAAGGGUGGGGAUGAGGUGUGGAUAGCGGAGAAAUUCCAAUCGAACCCGGAGAUAGCUGGUUCUCCUCGAAAUAGCUUUAGGGCUAGCCUCGUUUUAGUCUGGUGGAGGUAGAGCACUGAAUUCCCAAGGGGGCGUCAAAGCUUACUAAGGGAUAUCAAACUCCGAAUGCCAUACAGAUGAUGAACGGGAGUCAGACUAUACGAGAUAAGUUGGAUAGUCAAAAGGGAAAGAGCCCAGACCUGCAGCUAAGGUCCCAAAGUGCAUGUUAAGUGGAAAAGGAUGUGGGAUCUCUAAGACAACUAGGAUGUUGGCUCAGAAGCAGCCAUUCAUUCAAAGAGUGCGUAACAGCUCACUAGUCGAGAGGUCCUGCGCCGAAAAUGUCCGGGGCUAAAACAUGCCACCGAAGCUCAGGAAUGACAUAGUCAUUGGUAGAGGAGCAUUCUUAACGCGAAGAAGCAGUACCGUAAGGAGCUGUGGAGUGCUAAGAAGAGAGAAUGCCGGAAUGAGUAGCGAGAACAAGGUGAGAAUCCUUGUGGCCGAAUAUCCAAGGUCUCCAGGGUAAAGCUGAUCUGCCCUGGGAAAGUCGGGACCUAAGGUCAGGCUGAAAAGCGUAGCCGAUGGACAACAGGUUGAUAUUCCUGUACCGCAUGGUAACAGAACUGUGGGGACACGGGAGGGAAACAUGGGCCGGAAAUGGAAAGUCCGGUACAAGCGAGGUAGUCGCACAGCAGGCAAAUCCGCUGUGCAUAAGACGAAGCCGUGAUGUGGAGCGAAAUGAAGUAGCGAAGCAUGUGCCCCCUCCUGUCGAGAAAAGCCGCUAUUGUUUGCCAUGCGCCCGUACCGUAAACCGACACAGGUGGAUGAGGAGAGAAUCCUAAGGCCGGCGGGAGAAGCAUUGUCAAGGAACUCGGCAAAAUGACCCCGUAACUUCGGGAGAAGGGGUGCCCACGCAAGUGGGCCGCAGAGAAUAGGCUCAAGCAACUGUUUAGCAAAAACACAGGUCUAUGCGAAACCGUAAGGUGAUGUAUAUGGGCUGACGCCUGCCCGGUGCUGGAAGGUUAAGAGGAGAGGUUAGAGCAAUCGAAGCUUUGAAUUGAAGCCCCAGUAAACGGCGGCCGUAACUAUAACGGUCCUAAGGUAGCGAAAUUCCUUGUCGGGUAAGUUC
rnacentral:rRNA from 1 species